GACGAACGCUGGCGGCGUGCUUAACACAUGCAAGUCGAACGGAAAGGCCCUGCUUUUGUGGGGUGCUCGAGUGGCGAACGGGUGAGUAACACGUGAGUAACCUGCCCUUGACUUUGGGAUAACUUCAGGAAACUGGGGCUAAUACAGGAUAGGAGCUCCUGCUGCAUGGUGGGGGUUGGAAAGUUUGGGCGGUUGGGGAUGGACUCGCGGCCUAUCAGCUUGUUGGUGGGGUAGUGGCUUACCAAGGCGACGACGGGUAGCCGGCCUGAGAGGGUGACCGGCCACAGUGGGACUGAGACACGGCCCAGACUCCUGCGGGAGGCAGCAGUGGGGAAUAUUGCACAAUGGGCGGAAGCCUGAUGCAGCGACGCCGCGUGAGGGAUGACGGCCUUCGGGUUGUAAACCUCUUUCAGCACGGAAGAAGCGAGAGUGACGGUACGUGCAGAAGAAGCGCCGGCUAACUACGUG
rnacentral:rRNA from 1 species